AUGAACGUGUCAUAUCUCCCGCGAAUAAGCAGCAUGUUCUUUCUGGCCAUGUUCCUUGCUACCAUUGAUCUCAGCCUUCAGCAGCUGCAAAGCUUGAAGGACCCAGAAUCGGUGCCUCUUGGUGGGACAGUCACCAUAUCUUGCAGAUACUCUACUGGAGUCAUCUCUGACAACAAUUACCCUUGGAAGUUCACCCUGUUCUCCAUCAUGGCUUGGAUACUUUAUCUCUUUCUAGUCCUAUCUUUGUUUGAGGCCAGCAUCCAGCAGCUUCAGAGCCUGAAGAAUCCAGAACUUGUAGCUCCAGGAGGGACAACCUCCAUGUCUUGUAGAUACGAUGGGGGUGUCAUUGGCGACAACAAUUACCCUGUAUGGGUCCAACAGAAAUCAGAGCAGAUCCCAAGGCUCUUAAUGCACAGCACCAGUACCAGACCAUCAGGCAUUCCUGCCCGCUUCUCUGGCUCCAGGUCAGGGAACACCAUGUCCCUGACCAUCACGGGGGCCUUGGUGGAAGACGAGGCUGCGUAUUACUGUGCUGUCUGGACUGGAAGCGGGCGCACAGUGCCUGGUUCAGAUGGAGAAGUGAGACAAAAACCCUACAGGAAAUGA